rnacentral:rRNA from 1 species
UACAGAGGUCCCAAGCGUUGUUCGGAUUCACUGGGCGUAAAGGGUGCGUAGGCGGUCGGGUAAGUCUGAUGUGAAAUCUCACAGCUUAACUGUGAAACUGCAUUGGAUACUAUCCGGCUAGAGGAAUGGAGGGGAGACUGGAAUACUUGGUGUAGCAGUGAAAUGCGUAGAUAUCAAGUGGAACACCAGUGGCGAAGGCGAGUCUCUGGACAUUUCCUGGCGCUGAGGCACGAAAGCCAGGGGAGCAAACGGG